AGAUGUCGCCGAAGAGAAACUCACCUCACCCUUCGAUUUCCCUUGCUUCCUGGAACUCAUGAAGAAACAUAUGAAGCUUGAGCCCCUCGAUUGUCAGCUCUGUG